UCCCUGGUAGCUCAGAUGGUAAAGAAUCUGCCUGCAAUGCAGAAGACCUGGGUUUAAUCCCUGGAUUGGGAA
rfam:Ovis aries breed Texel chromosome 9, whole genome shotgun sequence.